AAACCCUAAUACCGUAAUACGGCCGACUCCUAUACAACAACCACCGUCAUCUCCAUUAUCAUGCCAAAGUAAUUGACUCAUUUUAAGCCUAGAUUUACCCCCUGUUAUAAACACAACUGACACUCUCUCAUACAAACCCAUUGGUGUGCGCUUGUGAAAUCGAUUAAUCGACAAUCGUUGUGUGCUUGUGAAAUCAAUUAAUCGACAAUUGCUGUGUGGAUAAUCACAUGAUCGACAAUGUUGCUCCCUUGUUUGAAUUGCCGCAUGAGAAGCAGAUGAUGAAAUCACGGAUAUUGAUACUGAAGCAAAGGACAAGGUUUUGAAGAGGCUGACAUUAAUGUGAAAAAAAAAACAAGGAAAAUGAGAGUAUAUUCUAGCAGAAAUUAUUCUGCCAGAAUGUUUAAAACGAUUACUAACAAUAUUAUUCUUUAAGAAAAAAUUAGUGAUUUUAUUAGAUUUGAUGGUUUAUUUUAUUUUUAACCAUACUAAGUUUUAUUAUUUAAGAAUAGAUGUAAUUCUUAGCACUUAUUAGUCGUAUUCUUUAAGAAUUAAUGUAAUUCUGUUUCAUAUAAAAUUUGUAAUUAUUAAUUUUGAUAAUA